AAAGCGUGUGCAGGCGGUUAUAUAAGACAGAUGUGAAAUCCCCGGGCUCAACCUGGGAACUGCAUUUGUGACUGUAUAGCUGGAGUGCGGCAGAGGGGGAUGGAAUUCCGCGUGUAGCAGUGAAAUGCGUAGAUAUGCGGAGGAACACCGAUGGCGAAGGCAAUCCCCUGGGCCUGCACUGACGCUCAUGCACGAAAGCGUGGGGAGCAAACAGGAUUAGAUACCCUGGU
rnacentral:rRNA from 1 species